rnacentral:rRNA from 1 species
UACGGAGGUUGCAAGCGUUAUCCGGAUUCAUUGGGUUUAAAGGGUGCGUAGGCGGGACGGUAAGUCAGUGGUGAAAGCCUGCAGCUUAACUGUAGAAUUGCCAUUGAUACUGCUGUUCUUGAGUGCAGCUGAGGUGGGCGGAAGGUGUAGUGUAGCGGUGAAAUGCUUAGAUAUUACACAGAACACCGAUUGCGAAGGCAGCUCACUAAACUGUAACUGACGCUGAGGCACGAAAGCGUGGGGAGCAAACAGG